rnacentral:rRNA from 1 species
UACGAAGGGGGCUAGCGUUGUUCGGAAUUACUGGGCGUAAAGCGCGCGCAGGCGGUUCUUCAAGUCAGUGGUGAAAGCCCGGAGCUCAACUCCGGAACUGCCAUUGAAACUGUAGAACUUGAGGACGAGAGAGGUGAGUGGAAUUCCCAGUGUAGAGGUGAAAUUCGUAGAUAUUGGGAAGAACACCGGUGGCGAAGGCGGCUCACUGGCUCGUUUCUGACGCUCAGGCGCGACAGCGUGGGGAUCAAACAAGG